rnacentral:tRNA from 1 species
UGGUUCAGAUGGUAGGGCGCUCGACUCGCAUGUGCGAGGUCACCGGUUCGAUCCCAGGCU